rnacentral:rRNA from 1 species
AUUACCGAGUUUUCAACUCCCUAACCCUUCUGUGAACCUACCUAUCGUUGCUUCGGCGGACUCGCCCCAGCCCGGACGCGGACUGGACCAGCGGCCCGCCGGGGACCUCAAACUCUUGUAUUCCAGCAUCUUCUGAAUACGCCGCAAGGCAAAACAAAUGAAUCAAAACUUUCAACAACGGAUCUCUUGGCUCUGGCAUCGAUGAAGAACGCAGCGAAACGCGAUAAGUAAUGUGAAUUGCAGAAUCCAGUGAAUCAUCGAAUCUUUGAACGCACAUUGCGCCCGCCAGCAUUCUGGCGGGCAUGCCUGUUCGAGCGUCAUUUCAACCCUCGACCUCCCCUUGGGGGGGUCGGCGUUGGGGACCGGCAGCACACCGCCGGCCCUGAAAUGGAGUGGCGGCCCGUCCGCGGCGACCUCUGCGCAGUAAUACAGCUCGCACCGGAACCCCGACGCGGCCACGCCGUAAAACACCCAACUUCUGAACGUUGACCUCGAAUCAGGUAGGACUACCCGCUGAACUU